rnacentral:rRNA from 1 species
AGAUUAAGCCAUGCAUGUCUAAGUGCAAGCCGUCCUGUACGGUGAAACCGCGAAAGGCUCAUUAAAUCAGUUAUGGUUCCUUAGAUAGUACCAAAGUUACUUGGAUAACUGUGGUAAUUCUAGAGCUAAUACAUGCCGACAGAGUUCCGACCAGCGCCGAGGCGGUUCACGCCGUCCUUCGGCGUUCGGAAGGAACGCUUUUAUUAGAUCAAAACCGGCCGGGCGGCCGUGUCGCGUGCUUCGGCUCGCGACCGGUCGUAAGUGGCCCGCGCAAUGACUUGGUGACUCUGAAUAACUUUGAGCUGAUCGCACGGUCUUCGUACCGGCGACGUAUCUUUCAAAUGUCUGCCUUAUCAACUGUCGAUGGUAAGUUCGACGCUUACCAUGGUGUUAACGGGUAACGGGGAAUCAGGGUUCGAUUCCGGAGAGGGAGCCUGAGAAACGGCUACCACAUCUAAGGAAGGCAGCAGGCGCGUAAAUUACCCACUCUUCGUUCGAGGAGGUAGUGACGAAAAAUAACGAUACGGGACUCAUCCGAGGCCCCGUAAUCGGAAUGAGUACACUUUAAAACCUUGGUCACACGAAGAUCAAU